ACCUGAAAUGUUCAAGUUAGAAAAGAGUAAAGUCCUAGAUCUUCAAUUAUAUGCAUUUAAAACAGUGGUUUCCAAACUAGUGUACAUGUAGAUAUGCAGCUUUUUGCCAAGUGGUACAUGUACAAAUUCUUAAUAAUAGUGGCAGAGCUUUUGACUGUUCAACACACAGCCAAUAAAAACGCAUGCUGCACCUUGACAUCGGUGAAUAUGAAGAGAUGCAAUGAGGACAGGGGGCACAGGCUGCAGUUUUUUGGUUUUUGUUUUGUUUUUUUAAAGGUAAAGGGGUACAGGGACAAAAUCCUUGAAAACCACUGCCUUAAAACUUAACAGAAGGGGCUUAUUAUAAAUGAUACCAGAAAGUUAAAUUCAAUUCACAUUACUUACAAACCUCCAUAACACAGCAGAACAAAGUUCUGAUUGGACAUUACACAGAGUUAUGGCCACUGGAACCUGAAAUCCCAAGUUUCCUAACAUUCAAGGUGUUGUUUAAUACUUCCAAUUUUUUUUUUUUUUUUUUUUUUUUUAAAGUCAUAGAAAAUGAGGGUUGGAAGGGGCCUCAGGAAGUCAUUGAAUCCAACCCCUUGCUCAGAGCAGGACCAUCCAACUAUCAUCUUGGGCAAAGCUUUGUCUAGACCCAGCAGUAAGAAUUCAAAGACCUCUAAAGCUGUAAACAACAAUAUGACUUCCCUGAAAGAACAAUAGUACUUUAUCAAUUGUGUACUCACUUGAACCACCUUAUAGAGGAAUGAAAACACCAGAGAGACACAAGCAUUCUUCUUAGAAGUUGCAACAACUGAAAAAAGUAAGUUUAGGAAUGUUUGUUCAAAGUUCCCAUUUUUUUAAUUUUAUUUUUAAAUCCCUUUUCAAAAACGUUUACUAAGGCACUGUAGCUGACCCAAAAACUCAGGAAACCAUUCAUUAGGUAUGCCAUUUCAUUUCUAAAUGCUGAGCUACUGAAAAGCAAAGACAGGUAAGCAUUGAGAAAAUACUGGUUGCACUGGCACUUAAACAUAUAUAUUUUUGGUUCAUAGGGUAUUUAAUGGGAAUUUGACCUUAACUGUUUUUUAUCUCUGCAAAACCUUCCCCCCCUCUCCCCCGCCAUGCUGACUUCCAUUGUGAAAAUUCACACGGUCAACAUUUCCACCCUAUUAAGUAGCCUAUACUCCAAAGGAUACGAUAUAAAUUGUUAUGUUUAAUCCACAUAAAACGAACUCCUCCAUGAGCUAGAAUGGGGGAAAGUGUUCCUUCUUCUUCCUUUUCCAUAAGGAUCGGCAUAAAAUGCUCAACCUCUGACAUAUCGACAUCUCCACGGUAAUUUCGACAGAUGAGGACCUGCAAUGGAUGAGUACAAUAGAGAACCAAAUGGACAACACACCUGAAGUGGUCAUCUGAAUAACAUACAUGACCUUUGGAAAUGGAGGUCAACUAAUUUGAGUGACUAAAAUUGAUACUUGUAUGGUGGAACCACAAACCACUUGGUUAUUUAAAUUACAAAA